rnacentral:rRNA from 1 species
UACGUAGGGACCGAGCGUUGUCCGGAUUCAUUGGGCGUAAAGAGCUCGUAGGCGGCUGCUCAAGUCGAAUGUGAAAACUCGAGGCUCAACCUCGAGCCUGCAUUCGAUACUGGUUGGCUUGAGUUUGGGAGAGGGAUGCGGAAUUCCAGGCGUAGCGGUGAAAUGCGUAGAUAUCUGGAGGAACACCGGUGGCGAAGGCGGCAUCCUGGACCAAUACUGACACUGAGGAGCGAAAGCCAGGGGAGCAAACGGG